GCCAGACUCCUACGGGAGGCAGCAGUGGGGGAUAUUGCACAAUGGGGGGAACCCUGAUGCAGCAACGCCGCGUGAGUGAGGAAGUAUUUCGGUAUGUAAAGCUCUAUCAGCAGGGAAUAGAAAAGAAGGUACCUGAAAAAGAAGCCCCGGCUAACUACGUGCCAGCAGCCGCGGUAAUACGUAGGGGGCAAGCGUUAUCCGGAUUUACUGGGUGUAAAGGGAGCGUAGACGGCGAUGCAAGCCAGAUGUGAAAGCCCGGGGCUCAACCCCGGGACUGCAUUUGGAACUGUGUGGCUGGAGUGUCGGAGAGGCAGGCGGAAUUCCUAGUGUAGCGGUGAAAUGCGUAGAUAUUAGGAGGAACACCAGUGGCGAAGGCGGCCUGCUGGACGAUGACUGACGUUGUGGCUCGAAAGCGUGGGGAGCAAACAGGAUUAGAUACCCCUGUAU
rnacentral:rRNA from 1 species